GCGCCUAGACCCGUACCGUCGCGCUUCACCGGCAAAGAGGCGGUGACCAGCCACCAACCUCCCCGACAUCCACGCGACCAGAAUGUGCCACUACGAACCGCUCCACCCGAUGAGCCCAGGUGACCAACCUACCAACUCCAACGGCCGCUUUCGACUUGAGGCCGUCACCGGCCUCAACAGCUACCGGCGCGGCCGUCCGGCAAAGGAACGACUUCGUCGGUCUGUACGGGUAGGCCGACCUCUCCUUAGCCGUUCGACGUCUGGCUACUUCGAUUCAUCAAAACAAUAGAAACAAACGUGUCGGUCUAUCGUGUGGAAGAACGACUAAUGAAGAAGGGCAUGUGAGUGCACUUUGUUGUAUCUAAGUGAUUAACUAAAACCGGUCUACGCGAUUAUGUCUUUCAAUCGAACUAAUCAAUUAGAAGUCGAUCUACUCGCGUGUGUACAUUGCGUGUCUUGCGCGUUUGUGCCCUUUUAGAUAACCUACCGUUAUCCACACACUGCGUGGAUACAAAAAUAACAAAACUAGACCACUUCAAGUUUCCCCAAGAAUAAAAGUAUUCCGGUUUACUACAAGUAGUCACGCAACCUAUGGAAAGGAGAAAAAACGAUACAUACAAAAGUACUAUAAAGAGAACAGGAAAUGUAUUUGAUAGAAAGAUAAUGGGGAGCCUACUGAGGGUUUACAACAUCAAGUAGACAGUUUUUUCCACGAAACGGACUAUUAUUAAAAAAACAAUAUAAACAAUUUAUCAUGUGACGUUGUAACUAACACGAUCCGCACUACCUUCGCACUACGAGCGUCUGUGAACAGUUCUACGCCUUCCUACCCUUGUGUCACCACCCCUUGAACCCAUAUACUUACUAUAUGUACUAGUCUUAUACGUACGGUGUAAUCCAACUGUACCUCACCUCUCCUCGGUUCCAUCCCCACCACUUCUCUCAGUAACCUUCUUGUUUCUUAUUCCAUAAAUCGCCCUUUAUUCCGUUUUUUAGUCAACCUGUGUAUUGCAAAUCGUUUUUACUCGAGUGGUAAAAACUCACAAAUGAUGUAGGACCAGUAGAUGUUCAUGAUGUUCUGUAGUAUACAUUGAUGUUGGAAGGAGAAGUUGUACAGCAAAUAAAACGCCCACAGUACAGAGAAUAAAAACGCCCAUCGUCAAUACAACUUCUGUUAAGAAAUAAAGAAAACAUUCCACUUUAUGUUCGUACAAUUAAUAACAUACUACAUCUAAAUAUAUCUCUCUCACCAAUGAUGGAAAAAAGGUAAGAUAGGUUUUUUGCCUAACCCAAGAUGGUAGUUUUCGCUAUCGCCUAUUUUUGUUCUUUUUAGUUGGUCCUCUCUCCCUCCUCAACCGGCCGUACCCCAGUACUCACCAUGUUUGUCCUUCUACGUGCGGGUACCAAAACCUUUCGAUCCUCAGUAACUACUGUCCAUGCCUUCAACCGCCUGUGGAUGUUCCUACACCUCCACUCGUAGUACCACUACGCCGUGUUGGAGCCCCGCCGCGACCGGUGGGACUUGUGCAAGCUUUAGAAACUCUUACCGGUCAGUACCGCAAACGCAAACAAUCCGGCGCGCACCCGCCACGGUCGAAAUUCUUCGCCAAGGCGCAGAUGGUGCGGGAGGCACAGGCGUAGCGGGCCCUGUAGUACAGGUCCAUGAGCUUCGACAACAUGGUGUGGUACCCCAGGCUCAACCGGUAGCUGUAGCCGUGCAGCGGUAUGGACUCCCGCAGCGACAGGCCAAAUAAAAACGACAAGCCUAGGGCGUUCCACUCAACUUAGUUAGAACAUGCGGAAUCCGCUACGGGGUCGAAAAAACUAUAGGCAGCUGUACUAAGGAGUGUAUAUUUGGUACGUCGUCGGUACCUGUUGGAAGUAGAUUUCUUCGAUAACAAACGAGGCCACCUAAACUAAAACAGAAAGGAGAAAAGAUACCAACACUCGUUACUUUAGGUUAAACGUAGAGGGAUGUACUAGUUCCGAUGCCACACUUAAUACUGGUAGGCAGCCUACUCCUGUGCUAACACCGUCCCUACAACCACCGUACUUCAACAUAUCAUCGUCCUACCAGAUUUGAGUCGGUGAACUCUAAACUCGAUGAAAAACCAGUAAAAGAUGAGUUAAGAUCUCAAGAUAACGUAAUAGUAUUAAAAAGUAUAGAGUCAUUUCACCUACAAAAAAUCCAAUUAUCAUUUCACGUACAGUCAUGGAGGUUUUCCUAAAAAAAAGUACUUUUAACAAAAAAGGACUACCAUUAGUAAAAGUAUGUUUGACGAUAUCAACGAACGGGAAAACCGUCGUAAACGAGUCUUCGAACUGACGGCUCUGAUCUGAUCUGAUCGAACUAAAAGAACUAUGUAGAUUUAUAAGGUUACACUAUACAAUUUUUAUGUCCCUCCUAUAAACAAACCGAAUACUCCUCUAAAACCAAUUGGUUGCAACUACGAAAGUGAGCGAGUGGUACAAGUAAACCAGACCUAAUGAAGAGAUUGUAAAAUUUUUAACGAUGACAGUUCAAAGUCAACCGCGCCCACAUAUCGUCUCCAUAUAUACACUAUUCCACGACACUAGUACUCUUUUUCAUUCCUUGACGUGUAGACCCGGAGUGUAAUUAAUGUUUACAAGUCACCGAAUGUUUCCCAUGUAAAAUGGAACAAACUUAAAGCUUCUAAAUCCGGUAUAUGUAACCAUACACUCUGCAACACAGAAGGGUAUCUCUAUGGUAGAUCUAAAAAUAAAAUAAAACCUCAACCUUCUUCCUACUUAUUCUACCUUCCUACGGGGAAUUAGGCAUUCUCUUAUGUAAAUCCAGUUUUAUAUUAAGACACCGACUUGAAAAUGUGACCAGUCCGAAUCCAAACCCGACUCGUUUAUCAAAUUAACCACAAUUACUCGGGUUGUUUACGUUCAAGUAGCUAAAGAGUACUAUACGAAAACUAGAAAUGGUUUUAUACGUAAUAUGGUAUAAGUAUACAAGCAAAGGAUACAGUCCAUACAGCAUGUCUCCCCUAGUUCGACAUAUAACGAUACACCUUACGAAACUAAGCUCCACGACAGCCCAACCCUCGUACUUUGUACGAGACAUCAAGAAACCAAGUUACGUCCUCCUUCCCUACAUGUAUCUGGGCUUCUAGAAAUAAUUCUAGUAGGUGCCCAACACCUUCGGUCCCCUCACUCUAAUUUAGUUCUUCAAAAAACUGUUUUACUCCUAAGUUACCGAGUUCCUCUCAUUCGGGGUUCGAUCUAGUAAUAACUAAAGGAAAUCAUCCUACAGUGUAUUAAGUAAAUCUCACCUCGUCCUUAUAAGUUUUUCCUUUACAUGUGGUAUAUAUAAUCAUAUUAUGUAGACUGUGAAAGAGUAGAAAGUGAUUAUCGUGUAACUAGUAUGGUAAACGUGUCGAGUAAGGCCACAUUCAGCCCGGUUAAAUCUUUUAUAAAAUUUCGACUAAGUAUGUCCAAUAUCUUCAGCCUCAGUUUGUCGUAUUAUUCUAUAAACAAGCACGUAUUAAAGACUAAGCAAACAGAAGAUUCCUAUUUACCCUGACGAUAGAUCUGACAUGGAAUUUUUGAUAAUCUGGGACGAAUAUUGAUAAAAAGUAGAACCGCACUAAAUAUUCCCUCCGGUGCGGUAAACAAAAACAAUAGUGUCCGGCACUACUGGGACUAAGUAACUACAUAUCACAACAUACACCAGUUAAUGGAUUCUGUCAUCAGUGUGAAGAGGACUAAACGGAACUAGACUUUAGACUGAAAACAUAACCAACAUCAGUUAGACUUAUAAUCACUCCAUGAAAAGGUUAACAGUAACAAGUCAAGAGAUGUAAUAGUACGUAAAAGAAACGAAAUUUCUACAGUACUACAAGCGGUACCGUCUCUUUUUUACAAAACUUCAACAAGGAAUCAUACGAAACCACACGGAUACGUGUGUACUUUUGUUUUCCAGCUCUCCAAAUUUUUACAGUACAAAAAAUGGUAACGUCUAUAGGACGAAGACCAUGAACGGAAGAUGGAGUGUUACAAUUGUGUUUUCAAUGAUAUAGACAUUCUGUACGGGAGAGAGCAAAUUACUACAGGACUUUAAAGGUGUAUUUUGAACCAUUAGUACGGUUCAUUAGUACGAUUAAAACUCUCUUCAAGUUCACCGUACGGGGGUAAACGGUACCAACGCUACAUGAUUAUUCGACGUCCUGAUUAAAAAAAUAAUAACCUGACUAUAAGAUUUCAAUGUAUACAUUCUCGUAUACUAUAAAG
rnacentral:rRNA from 1 species